rnacentral:misc_RNA from 1 species
AAGUCGUAACAAGGUCUCCGUAGGUGAACCUGCGGAGGGAUCAUUACCGAGCGAGGGCUCCGGCCCGACCUCCAACCCUUUGUGAACCCAUCUCGUUGCUUCGGGGGCGACCCCGCCGGUCCGCCGGCGAGCGCCCCCGGAGACCAACCCACACUGCAUCAUGGCGUCGGAGUCAAAAGUUAAUUAAACAAAACUUUCAACAACGGAUCUCUUGGUUCUG